GAGAGACAGGAUGGACCCAAGAAGCCCUGGACUGAUCAUUUCCUAGACUUCUCUGUGGAACAGCCACCAUUGGUCUUAUUAAGAGAGUCUGUGCUGCCCAUUCUUGAGCCUACACUGUUGAGGAUUCUUUCAAUUUCUCCUGGGAUGUUCUGCUUUUCUUCAUUCUCAGUCUCCCGGUGGUAGAAGUAAUUGAAGUUGGAGACAAUGACAGGCACAGGGAGGGCAAUGGUGAGGACCCCUGCAAUGGCACACAGAGUGCCCACAAUCUUCCCCCCUGGGGUGGUCGGGCACAUGUCCCCAUAGCCUACAGUUGUCAUGGUGACCACUGCCCACCAGAAGCCAUCAGGAAUGCUAGAGAAAUGGGACUCUGGCUCAUCCACCUCAGCAAAGUAGACUGCACUGGAGAAGAGGAUGACUCCAAUGAAGAGAAAGAAGAUGAGCAACCCCAACUCCCGCAUGGACGCCUUCAGUGUUUGCCCGAGGAUCUGCAGCCCCUUGGAGUGGCGCGAGAGCUUGAAGAUGCGGAAGACCCUCACCAGGCGGAUGAUCCUCAGGAUGGCCAGGGACAUGUUCUGUUGGGCACUCGGCUCUGUCUCCUGGACUAGCUCUGUGAUGAGAGUUGCAAAGUAGGGGAUAAUGGAGAUGAUGUCAAUGAUGUUCAUGAUGUUCCUGAAGAAGUCAGUCUUGCUGGGGCAGACCACGAACCGGAGCACCAGCUCGAAGGUGAACCACACGAUGCAGGUAGACUCCACCAUGAAGAAAGGGUCGGUGAACAUGGUCUGGGAGAGGACUGUCUUGCUCAUGUUGAGAUUGGGGUCUCUGACCACCUUUAGCUCCCUAUCCUCCCGGAACUCUGGCAGUGUCUCCAGGCAGAAGAUGGUGAUGGAGAUGACCACAACCAACACCGAGACCACGGCCACAGCACGGGCAGCGCUGGAACUUUCAGGGUACUCAAAGAGGAGCCAGAACUGACGGUGGAUGUCAUUGGUGGGUAGCAGUGUUUCAGGGUCUUUGAUGAAGCCUUCAUCCUCCCGGAACUGGUCCAUGGCCUCACUACCCAGCUCAUAGAAGGAGAUUUCAUCAGCAAAGAUAUCAAUGGGAACAUUGGCUGGGCGCCGAAUUUUCCCACCAGAUUGGUAAUAAUAUAGGAUUCCAUCAAAACUGGGCCGGUUCCGAUCAAAGAAAUACUCAUUUCUCAUGGAGUCAAAGAACUGCAUCCUUUUUUCCCGGUCUCCCAGGAGAGUCUCUGGGAACUGACUAAGGGUUCUGAGCUGGGUCUCAAAUCUCAGCCCAGCAAUGUUGAUGAUCACCCGCUGGUUUCCUUCAUUUAGGACCACUGGCUCAGGCCCUGGGGGGUCAGCAUAGUCUCCCGGAAGCUUGGAGAAGGCCGUCUCAUGGUUGGUGCUUUCGCUGAUGAGGAUCUUCCCGUUGGAGAAGGAGCUGCCCCCAGGCCGGCCUUUUGGGCUGGUUGAGUCGAAGUCUGUGGCAUAGCCUGGCUCUUCUUGGAUUUCAUCUGAAUUAUCAAAAUUGACCAGCGCAACCUCCAUUUCUUUCCAGCCACACACAUCCAUUCUAGGGGAGCCAGGGAAGAAGCAUGAAGAUCCUCAGCCUUCACUGCCUGCUGUGAGCUAUGGAGAAGAAGAAGUUCAUUAUACAAGAUCCAGGGCAGAAUACAACUGGCCCUUGUUUAUUGAGGUAAGGUACACCAAUGGGCUAAUCAAUGACUUAUUUGUAGCUUGGGAAGGAACGUCAUGGUUAUUUUGGCAGCAUGCUUCCCUUAAAAUCAUUUUGUACCCCUGAGUUUGCAUAAACUAAUAACUAGGAGAAAUUGCAAAAAAAGGAUCCUGGCAAAGAAGGGGAGAUUCUCCCCAGCAAAGGAUGGUCUCCAUAUGUGAUGGCAGAGGGGCCAUACUAAAAGAGGAAGUUAACAUUCCUUAAUAAUAAAAAGCAUGAUCUUGU
rnacentral:lncRNA from 1 species